rnacentral:rRNA from 1 species
GACGAACGCUGGCGGCGUGCUUAACACAUGCAAGUCGAACGGAAAGGCCCUGCUUUUGUGGGGUGCUCGAGUGGCGAACGGGUGAGUAACACGUGAGUAACCUGCCCUUGACUUUGGGAUAACUUCAGGAAACUGGGGCUAAUACCGGAUAGGAGCUCCUGCUGCCUGGUGGGGGUUGGAAAGUUUCGGCGGUUGGGGAUGGACUCGCGGCUUACCAGCUUGUUGGUGGGGUAGUGGCUUACCAAGGCUUUGACGGGUAGCCGGCCUGAGAGGGUGACCGGCCACAUUGGGACUGAGAUACGGCCCAGACUCCUACGGGAGGCAGCAGUGGGGAAUAUUGCACAAUGGGCGGAAGCCUGAUGCAGCAACGCCGCGUGCGGGAUGACGGCCUUCGGGUUGUAAACCGCUUUCGCCUGUGACGAAGCGUGAGUGACGGUAAUGGGUAAAGAAGCACCGGCUAACUACGUG